rnacentral:tRNA from 1 species
GGCUCGUUGGUCUAGGGGUAUGAUUCGCGCUUCGGGUGCGCGAGGUCCCGGGUUCGAAUCCCGGACGAGCCC